rnacentral:rRNA from 1 species
GACGAACCGUGCGAACGUUAUUCGGAAUCACUGGGCUUAAAGCGCGUGUAGGCGGGACGGCACGUCCGUCGCUGAAAUCCCCCGGCUCAACCGGGGAACUGGCGGGGAUACGACCGUCCUGGAGGGACGUAGGGGGACCUGGAACUUCCGGUGGAGCGGUGAAAUGCGUUGAGAUCGGAAGGAACGCCCGUGGCGAAAGCGGCUUCCUGGUCCAGCACCGACGUUCAGGCACGAAAGCAUGGGGAUCAAACAGG